CCUUACCCUAACAAUGGAGGGUCCUUAUAUAGAGCUUUGGAUGUACGAGGUUUUGAAUUCCUCUCUCAUGAGCUUGGCAAAUUAGUGGGAGAAUCAUUCCGUUAGGUAGCAGAAUUUCUCAGAGUUAGUGGUGCUUCAAAUCGGUGUGGUCCUUCAAAUGCUUUACUCUUCUCAAUCUCCCACCAACGGUUCAUGAUGACUUGUGCAUCACACUUCUGAAAUGGUUAUCAAGGUUGGAACAUCGCAUCGGUUUCAUUCACUGCAGUUAGCUUAAUUAAUCCAUAGAGUGGAGGUUUACAAUAUUCACGUAUCGAUGCGGUUUUGGCCAAUGGUUGUAGGCUUGUGCUCCGUGAUUCUAUUACCAUGAGGUUGGUGCUUUUGUAAGGAUGCAUUUGUGAUAUGCAGGUUUGGAUAUUGAUUCCCAUAUCCUUGCUUGGAAAUCUAAUUUGACAAUCUUAUUAGCCUCAAAAACUGUUUCCAAUGAAUUUCCCUGGAAAGCAACCAAUCAACAGAGCACACAGAAGCGCUUCAGCACUCUCAAUAUCAACCUUCUCAGAGUAUUUGCCCGACAAUACUUCGGGGCAACCUAUGCAGGGCUUUCAGCCAAUCCAGUCAAGUUUUGACCUUCCCAAAUUCUCAUAUUGAGUUCAAAAUCUGUAGGCUUUAACUUUCUUGAUUUUUCAGGUUUGGUAUCUUUGUGCACGACUCUUGCAAGUCUUUGUUGCUGCUGAUGCAUUGCUGGAUGUUUGUUAUGAUGUAUUUCGGCUAGUGGUUGUAGCACCUGUAUCCGGAUUCUACAGCAAGAUUACGUCACAGCAUGCACCUGUUGGAUAAGUUUGGAUGAUUGUGUGGUUUGUAAAUUGACGACGUUAUGUGACAUGGUAUGCUACAUUAUACCUGCAGCGAGCUGGUCUGUUUUGGAUUGUGGCCGUAAUCACUCAACUAUGUUAUGCCAUUGUUUUAUUUGGUCAUGGAUAACUUGGCAUAGUAAUAAUGAUAUCAUGCUAGGCGUUUUUGCAGGUUCAAUGUCGCACAAGGGGCUUGGCCAAGGCUUGGAGAAAAAGCUGCAAAAAAAAAGUGAUUCUGAACUCUGGUGAUGGAGCAUGAACAAUUGAGGUUUAGGUCUUUUUUUUUAGGAAAUGGUCAAUAGCUGGUUUGUUGGAAUUUGGCCAACCUUUGUAGAGGAUUUGUCAAUUCCUUAUGAUUUUGUAAUGAUGAUUUUGUAAAAUGGAAUUU